AGAAGAAUCCAAAAAAAAAAAAAGGGGGGGUGGGGUACGAAUCUCUGUGCACACACAGACACCCACGUCCGGGAUAAUGGUAGUGACCAGUGUGAGACUACCACCAAAAUGGCCGUUUCUUCUCAGAUCCAAGAUCGGAGAAGGCAAUGGCACCCCACUCCAGUACUCUUGCCUGGAAAAUCCCAUGGACGGAGGAGCCUGGUGGGCUGCAGUCCAUAGGGUCACUGAGGGUCGGACACAACUGAGCGACUUCACUUUCACUUUACACUUUCAUGCACUGGAGAAGGAAAUGGCAACCCACUCCAGUGUUCUUGCUUGGAGAAUCCCAGGGACAGGGGAGCCUGGUGGGCUGCCGUCUGUGGGGUCGCACAGAGUCACAAGACUGAAAUGACUUAGCAGCAGCAGCAGCAGAUCCAAGAUGCAGAAGAGAAAUUCCCUGAGAAAAAGUAUGAAAGGUACCUACUUCAGAAGAUUGUGUGAGAAUUAAAUGAGAUAAUGCAUGCAAAACACAGUACAGGGCAAUUUUCAGGCCUCAUUGCAGACCUGCAGAAUUAGAAACUCUGGGAUGGGGCCCAACUAUCUGUUUGUUUAACUUUAAAACUGUUAUGUGUGUGUGUGCGCGCGCGUGCGUGCGCAUGCGCGUGCGUGUGCACGUGCGUGUGUGUGUGCGCGCGCAUGCGCGCUAAGUCGCUUCAGUCAAGUCCGACCCUUUGCUACCCAAUGAACUGUAGCCCGCCGUGGUCUCUGUCCAUGUGGUUCUCGAGAUUUCAUGACUAUAUGGCUUCUGGCUUGUUACCCGCCUGAAAUUCAAAGCCAUCGUUUGUUUCUUGAGCCCAGCUGUG
ensembl:lncRNA